rnacentral:rRNA from 1 species
UACAGAGGGGGCAAGCGUUGUUCGGAAUUACUGGGCGUAAAGGGCGCGUAGGCGGCCUUCUAAGUCGAACGUGAAAUCCCCGGGCUCAACCCGGGAACUGCGUCCGAUACUGGAAGGCUUGAAUCCGGGAGAGGGAUGCGGAAUUCCAGGUGUAGCGGUGAAAUGCGCAGAUAUCAGGAGGAACACCGAUGGCGAAGGCAGGUCUCUGGGCCAUAACUGACGCUGAGAAGCGAAAGCAUGGGGAGCGAACAGG